GCAUAUCAAUAAGCGGAGGAAAAGAAACCAACAGGGAUUGCCCUAGUAACGGCGAGUGAAGCGGCAACAGCUCAAAUUUGAAAUCUGGCCCCCGGGUCCGAGUUGUAAUUUGUAGAGGAUGCUUUUGGUGCGGUACCUUCCGAGUGCCCUGGAACGGGACGCCAUAGAGGGUGAGAGCCCCGUCUGGUUGGACGCCAAUCCUUUGUAAAGCUCCUUCAACGAGUCGAGUAGUUUGGGAAUGCUGCUCUAAAUGGGAGGUAUAUGUCUUCUAAAGCUAAAUAUUGGCCAGAGACCGAUAGCGCACAAGUAGAGUGAUCGAAAGAUGAAAAGCACUUUGAAAAGAGAGUUAAAAAGUACGUGAAAUUGUUGAAAGGGAAGCGCUCAUGACCAGACUUGGGCUUGGUUGAUCAUCCAGGGUUCUCCCUGGUGCACUCUUCCGGCCCAGGCCAGCAUCAGUUCGCUGUGGGGGAUAAAGGCUUCGGGAAUGUGGCUCCCUCGGGAGUGUUAUAGCCCGUCGUGUAAUACCCUGUGGUGGACUGAGGUUCGCGCAUUCGCAAGGAUGCUGGCGUAAUGGUCAUCAGCGACCCGUCUUGAAACACGGACCAAGGAGUCGUCUUCGUAUGCGAGUGUUCGGGUGUCAAACCCCUACGCGUAAUGAAAGUGAACGCAGGUGAGAGCUUCGGCGCAUCAUCGACCGAUCCUGAUGUUCUCGGAUGGAUUUGAGUAAGAGCAUACGGGGCCGGACCCGAAAGAAGGUGAACUAUGCCUGUAUAGGGUGAAGCCAGAGGAAACUCUGGUGGAGGCUCGCAGCGGUUCUGACGUGCAAAUCGAUCGUCAAAUAUGGGCAUGGGGGGCGAAAGACUAAUCGAACCUUCUAGUAGCUGGUUUCCGCCGAAG
rnacentral:rRNA from 1 species